UACGUAGGGGGCAAGCGUUGUCCGGAAUCAUUGGGCGUAAAGAGCGUGUAGGCGGCCAGAUAAGUCCGCUGUGAAAACUCGAGGCUCAACUUCGAGCUGUCGGCGGAAACUAUCUGGCUAGAGUCCGGAAGAGGAGAGUGGAAUUCCUGGUGUAGCGGUGAAAUGCGCAGAUAUCAGGAAGAACACCCGUGGCGAAGGCGGCUCUCUGGGACGGUACUGGCGCUGAGACGCGAAAGCAUGGGGAUCAAACGGG
rnacentral:rRNA from 1 species